rnacentral:rRNA from 1 species
AUUCCAGCUCCAAUAGCGUAUAUUAAAGUUGUUGCAGUUAAAAAGCUCGUAGUUGGACCUGUGGAGGUGCCCAUUGUCCAAAAUGUUUUGGUACGAUUGGGCGCUUCCAUCCUUGGGUGGAACCUGUGGGGCAUUAGGUUGUUUUGCAGGGGAUGCCCAUCGUUUACUGUGAAAAAAUUAGAGUGUUCAAAGCAGGCUUAUGCCGUUGAAUAGAUUAGCAUGGAAUAAUGAGAUAGGACYUUGGUACUAUUUUGUUGGUUUGUGCACCGAAGUAAUGAUUAAUAGGGACAGUUGGGGGUAUUCGUAUUCCAUUGUCAGAGGUGAAAUUCUUGGAUUUUUGGAAGACGAACUACUGCGAAAGCAUUUACCAAGGAUGUU